rnacentral:tRNA from 1 species
GGCUGGGUAGCUCAGCUGGUUAGAGCGUGGGACUCAUAAGCCCAAGGUCGGCGGUUCGAUCCCGCCCCCAGCUACCA